UUCGCAUCCGUCUAUUGCAACAUCAAGCCCGCACCUAUUGCCUCUUUCUGUAUCUCAUCGGCCAUUGCUGUAUUCACUCUCUUCCUCGGUCUCUCGGCCUCGUGCCUUCGACUGAAUCUCUGCCUUCGCACUUCCUCCAACCCUUUAACUCUAUUAUUAUCGCCGCCGCCCCUUAAUCUUACUGCACGCGCAGCUGCUGCUCGGCUGUUCCGUCCUCUCUUUCUGGAUCGCAGAAUUGCAGGCAGUUUGCAAGCGACUUGAAACAGGGCCUUCAAUUUGUGUUGCAGUUGCCUGAGGAUCCAUUAAUAAUGGCGGCUCUAAGGGACCUCCUUCCUCCAGUUAAGUCAACCACUACAACUUAUUAUGAUCAUUCAAAUGACCCAUGGUUUAGACAACGAUUCAGCUCAUCUGAGGCAGAGCAAACCACGGUUGUCAAUCCUAAACUUGUGCCUCCCUACUUGGAGCGUAAAGGUUUUGUUCCCCGCAGAGUGGAGGAUUUUGGGGAUGGGGGUGCAUUCCCUGAGAUUCAUAUUGCGCAAUACCCUCUUGAUAUGGGUAGAGGUAAAUCUGCAAAACCAGGGUCAAAGAUUCUACCUUUGACUGUUGAUGCCCAUGGCAAUGUGGCAUAUGAUGCCAUUGUGAAGCAAAAUGAGAACGCAAAGAAAAUUGUUUAUUCACAACAUAAGGAUUUGAUUCCAAAGAUUUUGAGGAAUGAUGAGGAGAGAGAUGAGGAUGAGGAUUUGCAGAAAGAGAUUGAGGAGACAACACAGGAAACUAAAGAUGCACUUGAAAAGAUUGUGAAUGUGAGAUUAAGUGCGGCACAACCAAAGAAUGUGCCCAAACAGUCUUCGGAGUCAAAGUAUAUUAAGUAUAAGCCAUCUCAGCAAUCAGCAGCAUUCAAUUCAGGGGCAAAAGAGAGAAUCAUCAGAAUGGUGGAGAUGCCUGUGGACCCACUUGAGCCUCCUAAGUUCAAGCAUAAGAGGGUUCCCAAGGCUUCUGGUUCUCCACCUGUGCCAGUCAUGCACUCCCCACCUAGGCCUGUGACUGUGAAAGAUCAACAGGAUUGGAAAAUCCCUCCUUGUAUCUCAAAUUGGAAGAACCCUAAGGGUUACACAAUUCCUCUUGAUAAACGUUUAGCAGCUGAUGGAAGGGGUCUGCAGGAUGUUCAGAUUAAUGAUAAUUUUGCAAAGCUAUCAGAGGCACUCUAUGUUGCAGAGCAGAAGGCUAGAGAAGCUGUAGCUAUGAGAUCAAAGGUUCAAAAAGAGAUGAUGAUGAAAGAGAAGGAAAGGAAAGAGCAGGAACUGCGGGCAUUAGCUCAGAAAGCUCGUUCUGAAAGAACUGGUGCAGUGCCACCGGCAUCUGCCCCAAUCCCAUCUGAUAAGAGUGCAAUGGAUGAUGUUGAUAUGAUAGGGGAUUAUGAGCGUGUAAGAGAAAGGGAGAAGGAUGUCCCCAAAGAGACGAGAGAGGAAAGGGAAGAGCGGCUGCAACGGGAGAAAAUUCGUGAGGAGCGACGUCGAGAGAGGGAGAGGGAAAGAAGGUUGGAAGCAAAAGAUGCUGCCAUGGGUAAGAAAAGCAAAAUUACAAGAGAUAGAGAUCGUGACAUCAGUGAGAAGGUUGCUCUUGGUAUGGCUUCUACAGGUGCUGGCAGAGGAGAGGUCAUGUAUGACCAGAGGUUGUUCAACCAAGAGAAAGGGAUGGACUCUGGGUUUGCAACAGAUGAUCAGUAUAAUGUGUAUGACAAAGGCCUCUUUACAGCUCAGCCUACACUUUCAACUCUGUACAGGCCUAAGAAAGACGUUGAUGCUGAUAUGUAUGGAGGUGCUGAUGAGCAGUUAGAUAAGAUCUUGAAGACAGAAAGGUUUAAACCUGACAAGGCUUUUGCUGGUACUUCUGAGAAAACAGGUCCACGAGACAGGCCAGUUGAGUUUGAAAAGGAUGCAGAAGAAGCAGAUCCAUUUGGUCUGGAUCAGUUCUUGACAGAAGUAAAGAAAGGUAAGAAAGCUAUGGACAAAGUUGGUACCGGUGGAACAAUGAGAGCCAGUGCUGGAUCUUCAUUGCGAGAUGGAUAUGAAGGAGGCUCAGGUAGAACCCGCAUUGGAUUUGAGAGGGGCCGCUAGAUAUGCUGAUUUCAGGUUGUCCUUUUCUUUUCCCCUGUAUUGUAAUGUUGCCCUUUUUUUCUAUAGCAUAUCACCUGAAGCUUAUUAGAUGUGAAGAUAUUUGUGCCGUGUUUAUUUUCUCUAGAAUUUGAAUGAAAUAAUCCCGCUUUCACAUGUUUUGUAAGUUAAUUCUUAUUAACGCUUUCAUAUUUGAUUGCUGUUGUCAUAAUGGGCUACUUUUGAUCGUCGGGAGUUGGGUAGAUCUAUUACUAUGGAGUUGCAUUAGGCUGCAUUACCAGCUGAAUUUCAUGCUGCAGGAUUUUUCUUUUCUUUUCUCUUUUUCUAAAGUUUCUAAUUUUGUGUAGUGGUUUUUGUGAUUACUGUAAUUUGUUGCUAGCCAGGUAAUAGGAGGGCAGGGCAGGGCAAAACACCCUUCUUUCCAAAAAGGGAAAACAGAAGAAGUGUAUGACCAUAGAGCAACAUUUUACUUAGGCAAGGUGAGCUUUCAUGUUUAGAUAGAAAAUGUUGAUAUAUAUUGUAAAAGAAAAUGUUGAUAUGCUAGUAAGAUCAUACUUAAUUAUAUAUAACAUCAAAUCUUUUAGUACCAAUCAAUACUAGUUAAUUUUAAUUUGCAACUCUACUUAUGCUGAGAGGAGCUUGCUAAUUUGGUAUUAGAUAGCCUCCUCUUUGUUGAAGA
rnacentral:misc_RNA from 1 species